rnacentral:misc_RNA from 1 species
GAUGAAGAGCGUAGCGAAGUGCGAUAAGUAGUGUGAAUUGCAGAAUUCAGUGAAUCAUCGAAUCUUUGAACGCACAUUGGGCCCUUUGGUAUUCCAAAGGGCGUGCCUGUUCGAGCGUCAUUUGUACCCUCAAGCUUUGCUUGGUGUUGGGCGUCUUGUCUCUAGCUUUGCUGGAGACUCGCCUUAAAGUAAUUGGCAGCCGGCCUACUGGUUUCGGAGCGCAGCACAAGUCGCACUCUCUAUCAGCAAAGGUCUAGCAUCCAUUAAGCCUUUUUUUCAACUUUUGACCUCGGAUCAGGUAGGGAUACCCGCUGAACUUAAGCAUAUCAAUAAGCGGAGGA